rnacentral:rRNA from 1 species
UACAGAGGGUGCAAGCGUUAAUCGGAAUUACUGGGCGUAAAGCGCACGUAGGUGGCUGGGUAAGUUGGAUGUGAAAUCCCCGGGCUUAACUUGGGAAUUGCAUUCAAGACUGCCUUGCUAGAGUGUGGAAGAGGGAAGCGGAAUUCCAGGUGUAGCGGUGAAAUGCGUAGAUAUCUGGAGGAACAUCAGUGGCGAAGGCGGCUUCCUGGUCCAACACUGACGCUGAGGUGCGAAAGCGUGGGGAGCAAACAGG